ensembl:lncRNA
AGCACCUCCCCCAUCCUUCCUGCCUGAAGGACCUGUGGCCACCACAUUACGAUGUUUGCCUUCACCUGCUAAACCUCUCCUCUACAGAAGCCUGUCACAUAGAGAAUCUAGCUGCAAGGGAAGAGAGAAGUGUCGUCUUUACUGCAAUGGACAGAGGGUUGCAGGCAUAUUAAGUAUAUAACUUGUAAGCAGUAUGGAUAACUGGAGUUUUGAGAAAACAAUAUAAGAGUCUUGUCUUUUAGUAGACCCGCGGCUCCCUCGCCCCUUGCCUUACCUGACACCGCCCUGAAGACCUUCAGCCUAGAGAGGAAGGGGACGCUCCCAGGCUGAAGAGCAUGUGCCCCGGGCCCGGAGAACGUGAAAGCACUGCAGCUUCCGAGCUCCCUCGCCUCCUCCUGCCCUUCUCUUUUUCAGCACAUGACCUCGCCUCCUGCUUCAGAGGAAAUAGAAGCCAUCAAUUCUUAAACCAGUGACAAUUCUACAUAAAGGAAGGACCUUGCCGUCAGUAACAGCUUACUACAGAUGGUCCCCAUGCCGAAUACAGGUCCUACAAGGCACGCCUUAUUAUUAUCUCCAGUUAACACGAGAAAACUAACUGACUUCAGAACUUGCCCGGGAUCACUUGGCGGCCCCAGCUUUGUGCCAGACACGUGCUGAGGACACGAUGAAUGAGACUGCAUGCCCUGCCCUGGAGAAGCUCAGCCUGGAAGGAGUUAGCCAAAUAUUCAUACCCCGAGAGCUGCCUGAGAAGUGACUGCUGCGUCUUACAGUUGCCAUCAGAAGAAUGUGUGUCGAGUGUCGCCAGCACUGACACUUCCCUGGAAAUACCCAUCCCUCAGGAAUUUAAAACUGAUUGUUUCGUCACCAUGACUUCAAGCUGAGGCCUUCGUGAUUAGUAAUGCCUAAAUGUGAUCUAACUUUCUGAGAAUGAGGAAAGUGAUGACAAUGAAAGCUGCAAUUUUUUUUGACAAAGGAUAAAUUUUUUUAAUUGAGGUCAUGAUGGUUUAUAACAUUGUGAAAUUUCAAUUGUACAUUGUUAUUUGUCCAUCACCACAUGAGUGCGCCCCUUCAGCCCCUGUGCCCACCUCCCAGCCCCCUCCCCCGGGUAACCACUGAACUGUUCUCUUUGUCCAUGUGUGUGUUUGUCUUCCACACACGAGUGAUUCAUAUGGUGUUUGUCUUUCUCCGUCUGGCUUAUUUCGCUUAACAUAAUACCCUCAAGGUCCAUCCAUGUUGUUGCAAAUGGGACAAUUUUGUAAAAGCUGCAAUUCUCAACCUUUUUUAGCGGUUGCCAUGCCAGCAUUGUUCUAACCACCCUGCCUCUGUCAGCUCACUGAACUCCUGUCACCGUGCCAUUCUUCCAGGUGGCAGCACUGAGGCAGGGAGAGGCAGUGCAACUUGCCCACGCACAGAGGUGGGAGCAGAGCAUAGCACAACCAGAGGCACUCACAACUAGAAUGUACAGCUAUGUACUGGGGGCCUUUUGGGAAAAGAAGGAAAAAAAAAGAAUACAGACAUAUAAUACAUAUUGUAUAGUUUUAUUCAUAUACAGUUUAAGAACAGGCAAAGCCUGGGGUGGUGGGUGGGGUGUGUAUAGACUGGGAAGGGACACAAGGGAAACUUCUGGAGUGGAGAAAGGUCUUAGGUACUGAUCUGGGUGUUGAUCAUGUAUUCAUGUAUGCAGCUAUAAACGUGUAAAAAUCAUGAAGUUGUACACUUGAGAUGAGUGCACUUUAUGCCUAUUUUGCCUCAAUAGAAAUAAAAUGAAAUAACAAGCAUGUAGGUAGAAGACUGUCAGGCUGUGAUAUGCCUGGCAGGAUCCGGACCAGAGCCGAAUGCAGGGAGCAGCUCACAAUGGGGCUUGUGUGUCAAGCUCAGGGGUUUCCCCUUUAUUCAGGGAGCCCCAGGCCUUGGGAUCCGAUCCGAGUGUCGAAAGCUCACUCAGGAUCAUUCUGCCUAAACUGGAGCUGAGGCCCAAGGGAAAGCCGGGAGGCGAGAUUGCCUUAAACUGUCCUCGUCUGAGAAAAAUCAAAUUAUACUCUAUCGACUUGGUGAGGACACACUUUCUGUAAAUACAAAAUGCUGACCCAUGGAGCUGGGGGCGGAGGCGGCAGCUCCGUGUCCCCACCCUGCCACGCGGGGAUGCCGACACUAUAAGGGUGGCUGCCGACCACGAGGCUUCAGAGAUCCCUGGGCUGGCAGGGCAGGCCUCCUGGUUCACGGCCCUCCCCUCUUCUUCCGCUUCCCGCCCCCGGGGGCCUGCCACAGUGGCGGUUUUCUUCUUUUCUUCACAGUAUUUGCAUAGAGGAGGAAGAGGUGGAUAGUGCUGGCCACACUGACCUAAAUGAAAUGCAGGGGUCACAGGUCAUUUCUGUGCAGAUUGUGUAUCAUGUCAAACAAAGUGAACUCACAAGUGCUCUUGUUCAUGUAAUUGCUCUUUCACAAAGCUGCCUUCGAUUCCAGAAGGUUAACUUUUGGGAGAGAGAAGACAGAAAUCACAGUGCCUCCUGGCCUGGGUGGAGCCGCCGAGGCACAGGGACCUCCCCGAUCACAGGAGCCAUUAAAAGCAGCGAAGCAGCAGCCCUAUGAGGGUCCGGCCGACACGGGUGUGUUAGCAAUUCCCACGUUACUCCAGCGUCUGGGAUCCUCUAGGCUCACGUUUGCAUCUGCCCACGCUUCAUGUGAGAGCCCUUUUGGUCGGUUUUAAGCUCGUGCAUAGUUGAAAAGCAACUCGGCUCCAAAGAAAACCAGAGUGCGGAGAUGCAGUCAGAAUUCUUCAGGCUGUGAGCGGUGAUUUGUCUCAGUCUUACAAUACUUUUCUCCGCUUGUUUCCCAAAUAAUCUCCAGGCUGUGAGAACCCAUCUGAAAUGUCACACACCUGAAGAAUGUGCGCCGCAGGAACUCCCUGUUCCAGGACACUGUCCGCUUUAGUGAGUGUUUAACAGACUUUGGAUGUUUUGUUUUCCUACUGAGGUGUCAGCUGAAGUCAUACCCGCGUUGGGGGUCAGCAUGGCCUCCUCCUAACUCACCCAGCACAUCCUGAGAGACAUCCUCACGUCCAGCUCUGAGAAUGUCGUCACCGGUGGGGCCACGGUGAACACGGUCACAGUUGUCUUUAAAAUCUGCCAACAGUUCUUAGAAUGGCUGAUGUGAUGUCUGCGCACAUCUCCUCCCCCAGGACCAGUCUAUCACUUGGCUGUGCUGGGGCUCUCUGGGCUCAUUUGUACAGACACUUAUUCCGGGACAAGUUCAUUUCUUGCCCUCAGAGUUUUCG